UUAGGGUGACAUGGGAUGGAACACUUUUAGGGAAAGACUAGUAAAGGCAACCUUGAGAUAUAAAGUGAGACUGGAGCGAACGGAGGAUGCAAGACUAGCACGAAAAGUAUACCUGUGGAAUAUAAGAGAUGGCAAAUGGGCGAAUAAAUGUGGGGGAAUGAUAGACAGGAAUGUUGCGCUAAGUAGAUGGGUAUACCGACUCUGAAGAUAGGCAAAAUAUGUUUGAAUGGAGAAUAACAAAAACAUAAAUGGAGAAGGUUUUGAGUGGGAUCUAAGAAAAUGGAAGAAUGUGAUAGAUAUGGCAGUUAAAGAUGAGGGAUUGAGCAAGUGGAAGAAUGAGAUGGAAAGAAAGGAAACCCUCGACUGGUACAGUGAGAAAGAGGCUCCAAAGUGUGAGGUGUGGUAUGAGGGAAGCCUGGGAGGUGAUCUUCUUUUCCGUGCUAGAGCGCAGUGUCUGGAUGUGAAUGCAAGGAACUAUAGAUGGUCUGAGUCCCGCAGCAAAGUGUGCCAGAUGUGUGACAGGGGUGUGGACGAGACUGUGCAGCAUGUAGUGUUGGAAUGCAAGAAGUAUGACAGGGAGAGAACGAAGAUGAUGCAUGUGUUUUUGAGCGAGAUGGGACGUGAUGUAAACGGGAGGACUGGAAGGGAGUGGAUGGUGCUGCUGCUGGGGCUCAGUGGAGAGACGAGUGGACGAGUGAUUGAGGCAGUGAAAGAGUUCUUGGAGGGCAUGUGGCGUGAAAGAUAUAGGGAAUGAUAUCUUGCCCCGAGAACAUAGACUUUCCGCAUGUUUUUUGUUUUCUUUUCACAGGAGCUGCCGAUACAAAGGCCUGGCUGGGGAGAAAUCCCGAGCCACCUGUGACAUCAAGAUCAAGAUCAAGAUCAAGAUCAAGAUUUGAUUUUCUCUUCUCUGUUCUUUGGAAACGCACGAUAAAUUAAUCAAGCCAAGGAGAGGGUGUUCCCCGGCUGCCUGGGACGUGACGGGAGAGCCAAAGAGCGACGAGAAGCACCCAGCGCCACCCCACGCUGAGCCAUCUUUCCCUUCAACGAGACUCAGCCACAACACAGAUCAUCAUGUCCCGCACUUUCUAUUUGCUGCUUUUACUUGCCCCCCACGGAGUCCUCCUCACCAGCCAAACGAGAGAACUACAGGUCAGCUUCAUCCACCCUGAGUUCCCUGUUGUCAAGAUUAAGGCCAACUGCGACCCGUCUUCAGGUCGAAAGAUGAUUUUGGAUGUUUACAAGUGCCCCAUGAAUGCAAGUCAACCAUAUUUACCAGUGUCGUUAAAGGGAGUCUGCGAGGAGGAGGGCGGGACACACUGCCUCACCGAAGACCUUGAGCGAGGAUUGCUUCGCUAUAUCAGGAUAUUUUUGGAAAGAAAAAACCUUGAAGUACACGUCUUCCGAGCUCAGCCUGGCCAACGUGACCUUUUUCAGCAGAGAAUUUACGGUUGAAGCCACAUCCUGGUGAGUCUUACCCGUUGAAAAAGCCUCGAAGUUUUUGUAGAAGUUGAUUCCAUUCAGAAGAAAUAAAUCAGUUUAACCCGGUAGCAGCGACGGGCCAAAUUUGUGCCAUGAUAUAAACCCCCAAAAUAGAUGAUACAUAAUCUGAUCACAAAUGCUUUGAUAUAUAUUAUGAAAUGGUUUAUGUGAGGGGUGAUUUUUUUCUCAUUUCUCUCGCUUGGAGGGACCAUUAAGACAUGAUCCCCGCUGCUACUUUAACUGUUUGGGGCAGAUAGUAAUUGCUCGUGUUUGGGGGUCAUUAAAAAAUCAAUCUUUUUUUGGUUAUUUUGACCCCUCCCGCCUUUGUCAUGCCUUUAACACAUGUUCAAACCCACUAGAAAAUUGUGUAACACCAGA